UGGGGAAUCUUGGACAAUGGGGGCAACCCUGAUCCAGCCAUGCCGCGUGAGUGAUGAAGGCCUUAGGGUCGUAAAGCUCUUUCGCCUGUGAAGAUAAUGACGGUAGCAGGUAAAGAAACCCCGGCUAACUCCGUGCCAGCAGCCGCGGUAAUACGGAGGGGGUUAGCGUUGUUCGGAAUUACUGGGCGUAAAGCGCACGUAGGCGGACCAGAAAGUUGGGGGUGAAAUCCCGGGGGCUCAACCCCGGAACUGCCUCCAAAACUAUUGGUCUAGAGUUCGAGAGAGGUGAGUGGAAUUCCAAGUGUAGAGGUGAAAAUUCGUAGAUAUUUGGAGGAACACCAGUGGCGAAGGCGGCUCACUGGCUCGAUACUGACGCUGAGGUGCGAAAGUGUGGGGAGCAAACAGGAUUAGAUACCCUGGUAGUCCACACCGUAAAACGAUGAAUGCCAGUCGUCGGGUAGCAUGCUAUUCGGUGACACACCUAACGGAUUAAGCAUUCCGCCUGGGGAGUACGGUCGCAAGAUUAAAACUC
rnacentral:rRNA from 1 species